AUUGAACGCUGGCGGCAUGCUUUACACAUGCAAGUCGAACGGUAACAGGCCGCAAGGUGCUGACGAGUGGCGAACGGGUGAGUAAUGCAUCGGAACGUGCCCAGUCGUGGGGGAUAACGCAGCGAAAGCUGCGCUAAUGCCGCAUACGAUCUAUGGAUGAAAGCGGGGGACCGGAAGGCCUCGCGCGAUUGGAGCGGGCGAUGUCGGAUUAGGUAGUUGGUGGGGUAAAGGCUCACCAAGCCAACGAUCUGUAGCUGGUCUGAGAGGACGACCAGCCACACUGGGACUGAGACACGGCCCAGACUCCUACGGGAGGCAGCAGUGGGGAAUUUUGGACAAUGGGCGCAAGCCUGAUCCAGCAAUGCCGCGUGCAGGAAGAAGGCCUCCGGGUUGUAAACUGCUUUUGUACGGAACGAAACGGUCCUGGUUAAUACCUGGGGCUAAUGACGGUACCGUAAGAAUAAGCACCGGCUAACUACGUGCCAGCCGCCGCCGUAACAC
rnacentral:rRNA from 1 species